CCGCCAUGAUUGUGAGGCUUCCCCAGCCAUGUGGAAACAUAUUCGCAGAGCACCCACUAGGUGCCAGUAAAUGUAUGAGAAGUCCUGUGGAAUAAGACUGAAGUUGUCCUUGCCUUCAAGCAACUUGCAAUUGCCUAAGAACACAGUUUAAAACCACAAAACUAAGCCUUGGAAAUCACAUGCUGUCAUUUCUGCGAUCGGUCAUAACCAGUCCUGAUUCCAUGUUAGAGGAGACUACAUAAGGACACAGGUACCAGAAGAAACUUCUAAGUGCUGCUGUAUUUCACCAAGCUCCAGUUGAUAUCCAAAUUGGACAACUCCUGUGUGCCAGGACAAUUAAAAGGUAAAGUUGAAAAAUGAUUUGAACAACAAAGGCAAAUUAAAAGCCCUCCCUGGAGCAAAGAUUGAAUCAAGAGUAUGGCUGUUAUGCUUCUGUUAAAACCUCUGAAUCAGUUAAGAGAAACGUAUGUCUCAACAGGGCCUGAUUAUUC
rnacentral:lncRNA from 1 species